rnacentral:rRNA from 1 species
ACGUGUGCUAAUACCGUAUGUGUCCUUCGGGAGAAAGAUUUAUCGGUAAAGGAUGAGCCCGCGUUGGAUUAGCUAGUUGGUGGGGUAAAGGCCUACCAAGGCGACGAUCCAUAGCUGGUCUGAGAGGAUGAUCAGCCACAUUGGGACUGAGACACGGCCCAAACUCCUACGGGAGGCAGCAGUGGGGAAUAUUGGACAAUGGGCGCAAGCCUGAUCCAGCCAUGCCGCGUGAGUGUUUAUGGCCCUAGGGUUGUAAAGCUCUUUCACCGGA